rnacentral:misc_RNA from 1 species
GAUGAAGAACGUAGCGAAAUGCGAUAAGUAAUGUGAAUUGCAGAAUUCAGUGAAUCAUCGAAUCUUUGAACGCACAUUGCGCCCGCCAGUAUUCUGGCGGGCAUGCCUGUUCGAGCGUCAUUUCAACCAUCAAGCCCCAGGCUUGUGUUGGGGACCUGCGGCUGCCGCAGGCCCUGAAAACCAGUGGCGGGCUCGCUGUCACACCGGGCGUAGUAGAUUUUAUCUCGCUCAGGGCGUGCUGCGGGUUCCGGCCGUUAAAAAGCCUUUUUUACCCAAGGUUGACCUCGGAUCAGGUAGGAAUACCCGCUGAACUUAAGCAUAUCAAUAAGCGGAGGA